rnacentral:misc_RNA from 1 species
AAGAAAUCAUAUUUUUAAUCUGUAUUCAGGCAAUUUUUGAACAACCUCUUCUUUUCCCCCAAAGGUAACCCCCAACUUUUUCCAUAAAACAAUAAAAUAGAACAAUGCCAGCCACACCUAAAAAGACUAAAUAAACUAUUAUACAAGCUCCAAGUUCAAUUAACCAAUAUGGAGAUCCAUCGUCUCUCAACUUUGAGGUUUCACCAUCCCUUGUAUCACCAAAAUACACAAGUUUCACUUAAUAUCACCUAAAAUCCCAAAUACACAAAUUUCUGUUAAUAUCACCUAAAGUCCCUCGGGUUAGAUUCUGUUGGGUACUCCAGUCAAAAACUAAUAUGCAUAUGCCUAAUCCACAUCCAGAGAAAAGUACUUUCUAAUUGUGGUUAAAACAUUACUGAUAAUUUUUUCAUUUUAUCUAAUUUUUUUCUUUAUCUUUGGACAUAUCAAAUACUGAAUUAUUUUUUUUAUCAUGUCUAAUUUAAGUAAUGUCAAGCUUCUGGUCGGAAUUUCCAUUGGAAACUGACUAAAGGGAC